rnacentral:rRNA from 1 species
UACGUAGGCAGCAAGCGUUGUUCGGAGUUACUGGGCGUAAAGGGUGCGUAGGCGGCUUCUUAAGUCUGGUGUGAAAUCUCCCGGCUCAACUGGGAGGGUGCGCCGGAUACUGAGGGGCUAGAGUGUGGGAGAGGAAAGUGGAAUUCCUGGUGUAGCGGUGAAAUGCGUAGAUGUCAGGAGGAACACCGGUGGUGUAAACGGCUUUCUGGACCAUAACUGACGCUGAGGCACGAAAGCGUGGGUAGCAAACAGG